UCUCAUCAAAUCUUUAACCAUUGUCAUUUGUAAAUCUUUUCUUGUUUAUAAUCACUGUUUAAUUACUACUAAACUAGUGAAGAACUAGAUUUCAGCAAAUUGAGUAUUGGUUACUUAGGAUUGAGUAAACUAAGGAAAAAUGAUUUUGUAGCUUCUUGUUUCAAGUGUUGCUGAUAAAAUGUUUGAAGCUUUAUCUCUUAAGCUGACUGACAAUGCUCCAGUUUACCUCUCCCCUGUGUUACAUACAUUUUUUUCAGCUAUAUAACAUUACUCAUAAUACAGGCAUUUCAUACAAUUCUACAAGUCAAGCUCUCAUUGAAUAUUGUCACAUUAUUCUUAAACAUUAUUUAUUAAUACAAAGAGGGGGGAUUACUCCCUGAUAUGAUAAAAUUAGUUGCAAGUUGAAGAUUGGUGCAUGCUUUACAUAUCCUUAAUUUUGAUCUUCUGGAGGGUGAUAGACGGUCAGUGGUAGAGGUACAUUUUUCUGAUAAUAUUUCCUUUUCUGAAACAACAACAGUUCCUGUGUAGUAGUCUCCAAUGAGUUCUUCACUAUGGCAUAAAGAUCAUAUCAAGGUGUGGGGCAAGGGGUUUGCUUGUGUUUUUACAGAGGAUCAAUGCUUGAUCUGGCCGCCCAGAAAAUGAAUUCAGAUACGAUAUGAAGGAGAACUUCCAACAUCAACAUCCUCUGGAGGAGUCAUUCCAGAAGGUGACCAUCAAAAAACCUCAACAAAAGUCUGCAUGUCAAACACGGAAAACUGAAGCCCACUAAAUAAUAUUACAACAACUUGUGAGCCAAAAGUUGCACAAGUUAUCUUUUUGUGUAGCAAGAAAUUCCUCUAUCAGUGAACUGUUGAAGAAGAAUUUAAUAGGCAUAAGACUUUCUCCUAUGGUGUUUACUAAUAUCUCAGGCAUAAACAUCACUCUUCUCCCUAAAGUGCUUGCGCCUGAUGCCUAAUUAAAUUUACCUAUUAAUAUUACUAUAAUUACUGAUUGUGUAUGUAUUACUUGUACUCGUGUAGCCUCUUACUGCAAUUGUGCAAUCAUUGUAAAAUGGUCUUCUAGAUAUAGAUUUCCAAAUAGUUGGGUAUUUUUGUGUGAUAAUGAAAUAUAUUAAGCCCUUUCUCCACACUAUCAAGGUGUUGAUAGUGUAAGACGCAUUCUUCCUGCUCUAAUAGACCAUCCUGAAUAUAAGCACAAGAGACUUCUCUGAGUUCUGCCAUCUGACUGUGAUGAAAACUUGAAACUUUGAGGUCCUGUCACUGUUGCAGUUGCAGCUGCAUUCCUCCUGCCAGUUCCUAGACUUGUCAUUGGAAUGCUAAAGGAGAUAUCUAAGCUAGCCUGCGCAUAUAGCAAAACAAACUUGACUGCUUCUGUAUUAUCUGAACUCAACCAAGAACUGAGAGAAUUGCGAGCUGCAGUGCUUCAGAAUCGCGCUGCUGUGAACUGUCUGAUGUUAAAAGAGCAUGUAAGAUGUGAUCAGUUUCCAAGAAUGUGCUGUUUCAAUUUCUCAAACUACCCAAAAUCAAUUAGAUGAUAUCCCUCAUAUUGUCAAUAAGUUUUUACAAAUACCUAAGCUAUCUAACUAGUUUUCUUAAUUUCAUUAGAUAUAACUAGUAAUUGUAAGUCUGCCUUUGUUAUGUAUCUGUAUUCCUAUUCUGUUAAUUUGUGUAUGCAAUUUAACUAGUAGUUUGUCAAAACCUAUAUAUAUAUAUAUAUUCAAGUUAUGUCUGUCUUUUGACAUGUUCGAUCUCAGCCAUGUAAUGCAUAUUUCCCACAAAACUGGGUUACCAUAUAAUCCACAAGGCCAAGGCAUUGUGGAACAUGCCCAUGGCACCCUUAAAGCUCAAUUGGAAAAAACAAAAAAGGGGGAGUUAUAUCCCCAGUCACCACAGAACCAUUUAAAUCAUAUCUUAUUUGCAGCUAAAACUGCAUCUGAUAUAUUAAAUCAGAUAAAAGACAUGUGCAAAGAACCCCUGAAUAGUCUCUGGCACGCUGUCACACCUCUCUUAACCCUAAGCAUUUUAUGUCUUCUGUUGCUGUUACUAGGGCCUUGUGUCCCUCACAGCAUGUAGAAACUCAUCCAACAAGCCUUGAGACCUGCGUUAUUUGAAAUUGCAGACGGCCUACCCUCACUUGAAAAUCAUAAGUUCUAAAGUCAAGUAUGGUAGCCAAUGAUGGGUAAGAUAGAGUUGAAUUGUAAAUACCAACCUAAGACAGGGAGUGGUCAACAGAGGACUAUGGCCCCAUGAUGGGUAAGGAUUUACUUCAACCAUACAACCUAAGACAGGUACAUACCUUGACCCAGUCUGAGUUAGGCUGGUUGUUUUAUUAAAGAAAAAAGGGGGAGAUGUUGGGGACCGCCUUUGUCUUCUCACCUGUUUGUAGGCAGAAUGGGAAAGCACCUUCCCCCAUGUCUGAACGCAGCAUGGGAAAACACCAGCUUGAGAACAACCGGCGCAGUCCUUGGAAGUUAUCUGUCCACAGAAACAUAUCUUGUCCUUGAAGACGAGCCAAGACUCCUCACUCUGAAAAUAGGGAGACAUUGAAGAUGUGUGGAAACACCGCCCUUGCUUCUGGCUAUGCCCUUCCCCCACUUGCCAAUGUGGCAGGAAUGGAGAACAAAGAACAUUCUGUUUAUGCAUUCCAUGAGCAACUUACUGGAACGCUGCUGAGCCUACCUUUGCCCGGUUACUGCUGAUGUCAAUACUGUGCUUGAUUGUUUAUUGGAUAAUGCUAUGUCCUGGAAUCAUGUAACCCCACUGCAUUUUAUAAACCCUGGACCUUCAAUAAAGUUUUGCUGGCGAUGUG